UGGGUGACUGCUCAGACGACU
rnacentral:miRNA from 1 species